rnacentral:rRNA from 1 species
ACAGAAAUCAGCUUGCUGAUUUGCUGACGAGUGGCGGUAGGGUGAGUAAUGUCUGGGAAACUGCCUGAUGGAGGGGGAUAACUACUGGAAACGGUAGCUAAUACCGCGUAACGUCGCAAGACCAAAGAGGGGGACCUUCGGGCCUCUUGCCAUCGGAUGUGCCCAGAUGGGAUUAGCUAGUAGGUGGGGUAACGGCUCACCUAGGCGACGAUCCCUAGCUGGUCUGAGAGGAUGACCAGCCACACUGGAACUGAGACACGGUCCAGACUCCUACGGGAGGCAGCAGUGGGGAAUAUUGCACAAUGGGCGCAAGCCUGAUGCAGCCAUGCCGCGUGUAUGAAGAAGGCCUUCGGGUUGUAAAGUACUUUCAGCGGGGAGGAAGGGAGUAAAGUUAAUACCUUUGCUCAUUGACGUUACCCGCAGAAGAAGCACCGGCUAACUCCGUGCCAGCAGCCGCGGUAAUACGGAGGGUGCAAGCGUUAAUCGGAAUUACUGGGCGUAAAGCGCACGCAGGCGGUUUGUUAAGUCAGAUGUGAAAUCCCCGGGCUCAACCUGGGAACUGCAUCUGAUACUGGCAAGCUUGAGUCUCGUAGAGGGGGGUAGAAUUCCAGGUGUAGCGGUGAAAUGCGU